rnacentral:rRNA from 1 species
UCUGGUUCAGGGUUGUUAGAA